UACGGGGGGGGCAAGCGUUGUUCGGAAUUACUGGGCGUAAAGCGUGCGCAGGCGGUUCGUUGUGUCGGUGGUGAAAUCCCCGGGCUUAACCUGGGAAUGGCCAUGGAAACUGGCGAACUGGAGUGUGGCAGAGGGGGGUGGAAUUCCGCGUGUAGCAGUGAAAUGCGUAGAGAUGCGGAGGAACACCGAUGGCGAAGGCAGCCCCCUGGGCUAGCACUGACGCUCAGGCACGAAAGCGUGGGGAGCAAACAGG
rnacentral:rRNA from 1 species